GGUGUGGCCUUGUUGGAGGAAGUGUGUCACUGGGGGUGGGCUUUGAGGUUUCAGAAGCUCAAGCCAGGUCUACUGUCAUCCUCUUUUCCUGCUGCCUUCAGAUCC
rnacentral:miRNA from 1 species